rnacentral:rRNA from 1 species
GACGAACCGUGCGAACGUUGUUCGGAAUCACUGGGCUUAAAGGGCGCGUAGGCGGCCGGGUUGGUCGUGGGUGAAAUCCCCCAGCUUAACUGGGGAACUGCCUACGAUACUGCCUGGCUCGAGGGAGGAAGGGGCGGUCGGAACUGUCGGUGGAGCGGUGAAAUGCGUUGAUAUCGACAGGAACGCCGGUGGCGAAAGCGGACCGCUGGCCCUCUUCUGACGCUGAGGCGCGAAAGCCGGGGA